CCCAACCAAUCUUGCCCACACCGUAGAUGCCUCCUCCGCCCCCAAACGACGACGACAGGGACGCCGGCGCCCUAACCUGCGUCUCCUUCCACCUCCCCUAGCUCGUCUUCUCGCUGGCCGCUUUGGAGGAGCCUCCUUUUGUGUGCCACCGUGUUCGGGCUGCGGCGACCACCAAAGGUCCGCCGCCGGCAGGAUCUCCCUCCUUCUCCACUACGAGGCACCAGCAGAGGGGGGCGACUCCUCCUUCCAUCCCUAGCCAUGGCGUCCAACUUCUAACGCCGCUUGAAACCCUAGCCCGAAUCCGGCAGAGGCAGUUGAAGGAAGGGGGCGGGCCAUGGAGAAGCUGCAAGGUGUGGGCCUGAAGCCAUGGAUGGAUGUGUUUGGGAAGGCGAGGAGGCACCGAACCGAGCGGCGGGCAAGGAUGAAGUGAAGCUGAGCGCACCAUCGUCAUAUCCCUUCUCCGCCUACUGUUACUGGAAGCAAGCACAGUACCAUCUCAUCUCAUCCAUGAGCUAUUUUUGGCUUACAUGAAGGGAUGCAUGCUCUUCAUCUUGCAGAAGGAGGGGACUCGGCCUUCUUCACGGCUCGCGGCAGUGUCUCCCAUUGAUUCGUUCGUGCAACAAGGAGGGGACCCGCCCUUCUUCAUGUCUCAUGCAACAAGGGUGAUCAACGCGGACUACCACUGCCCGUUGGGCGUCGUGCUCUUCAACCACUCGGAGGUGGACUUCGCUGUGAAGCCUGGCGAUCGCGUCGCAUAGAUGAUCGUCCAAGUGAUCGCAACACCGGAGGUCACCGAGGUGGAGGACCUCGAUACCAUCGUUUGGGGGGAGGGAGGAUUCGAGUCCACUAGCGUCUGAACUCCGAGCCUUGGUAGAUACAUCUAGAGAAGUUGUAUGUUUAGGCUACUGGCAGAACAGUAGGAAAGAUACCCACCUUUGGUUGUGUGCGUUUACUGUUAAAUGGAAUCACCUGAUCUCUUGCGGUUGAGAUGUUCAAU